UCAUAAAAGAUUAAGGUGUAAUCUAUAGACCAUUAUUUAAUGCCUUGAAGAAAGAUGCUUUUGUCUGGUCUUUUACUCAGCAAUAGGCAUUUGAGGAGCUCAAAAAUAUCAUGUCUAACCCACCAGUACUAUCUCUUCUUGAUUUCUCUCAACCUUUCACUUUGGAAGCAGAUGCCAGUGGGAGUGGAAUUGGUAUUGUCUUAUGCAAAAGGUAAGACCAAUAUCAUUUCUCAGUAAAACAUUAGGCCCCAAAGCAGUUGCAUCAUCUACUUAUGAAAAGGAAGCCAUGACAAUUGUGGAAGCAUUAAAGAAAUGGAAGCACUACUUUGCGAGUACUUCUAUAAUUAUAAACGCAGAUCAAUAGAAUCUCAGAUACAUUCAUGAAUAGAGACUUGUGGAAGGAAUACAACAUAAGUUUCUAGUUAAAUUGUUGGGAUACAAUUAUAAGAUUGAAUACAAGAAGGGAAAAGAAAAUAAGGUGGCUGAUGCACUUUCCAAGACUAAUUCCAGCCUCAUCUGUCAAAGCAAUAACAAUGGUUAUUCCAGCUUAAGUUGAACAAGUAAAUGUUACUUACAAUCAAGAUCCAUUUUGCCUAGAUCUGCUCACAAAAUUGAGUAUUGACAGUGAAGCUGUUCCAAACUAUACAUUGACAAAUGAAAUCUUGAGAUACAAGGGCAAGAUUGUGGUAGGACAAGAUGGCACAUUGAGGCAGCAACUCUCGGAUAAUUUCCACAAAUCAGCUUUAGGUGGUCAUUCAGGUGAAAGGGCUACUUAUCAAAGACUCAAACUAGUCUUUUAUUGGUAAAAAAUUCAUCAGCAAGUAAAAGAAUAUGUGAAAGCUUGUCCAGUAUGCUAGAAAAAUAAAGCUGAACAUGUACCCUACCCUGGCCUCUUAGAGCAACUACCAAUUCAAUAUAUGUCUUGAACUUAUAUAUCCAUGGAUUUUAUUGAAAGCCUUCUCGAAUUUGAGGGAAAGGAAGUGAUCUUGGUGAUUGUGGAUAGAUUGUCCAAAUAUUCCCACUUCAUUGCUCUCAGCCACCCACAUAUUGCUCUAAGACGUGGUCAAUGUCUACAUGGACAAUGUAUUCAAGUUGCAUGAGCUACCAAAAGUGAUAGUGAUAGAUAGAGACCUAAUUUUCAUAAGUUCAGUUUGGCAAGCACUUUUCAAGAGCCUCAAAGUGGAACUCCAUUUGUCAACUGCAAACCACCCACAAACUGAUGGACAAACUGAGAGGGUUAAUCAGUGCCUUGAAAACUACCUCAGAUGCAUGUGUUCCACUAGCCGAAGGAGAUGGUGUCAUUAGCUGUCACUUGUUGAAUGGUGGUAUAACACCUCAUGCCACACUUCACUGAAUAUGACUCCAUUUCAGGCUUUAUAUGGAUUUCCACUCCCACAGAUUGCAGAAGAUGUUAUUCCAGAUUGCCCUGAUAUCACUACUCAAGAGCAGCUAAGGAACAAUCAAGUGGCCAUUCAAGUGAUCAAAGAUAACUUGUCCAAAGCACAGUCAAUAAUCAAACAUCAAGCUGAUAAACAUAGAACUGACAGGCAAUUCUCAGUGGUGGACAUGGGCUACCUCAAGAUCCAGCCAUAUCACCACACAUUUCUGAGUGCACACAUAUGCUUGAAGUUACACUCCAAAUUUUAUGGCCCAUUCAGAGUACUUGCAAAAGUUGGUAAAGCAGCCUAUAAAUUGCUUUUGCCUGAAGGGUGCCAGCUGCAUGACACAUUUCAUGUCAGUCAACUCAAACAACAUCUAGGGCUUGAAGCUGUACCAAGCAAGGAAUUACCAUUAAUUGAUGCUAAGGGAACAAUCAGAGUUGCACCUGAAGCAAUCCUUGAGAGGAGAAUGAUUCCCAGGAACAAUGAAUCAGUAGUUCAGUAGCUAAUUCAUUGGGUUAAUCUGCCAGAAUCUGAAGCUACUUGGAGGAUACCAAUUUCAUCCGCAAAGUUUUCCCUUCAUUCUAUCCUUGAGGACAAGGAUCUCAAGGAGGAGGUAUUGUCAAGAAUGGCAAUGAAGCCUUCUCAUUCAGUUUCAUCAGAAGUGAAGCGGAACAAGGGAACAGAGGAAGCCGGUGAUGUUUAUAAUGGUUGGUCGACUUCAAGGAUGCCAUCCAUCAAGCAACCGAUGGUCGUCAUCAUUUACAUCUCAUUUACUUAAUGUAACUUUCCUUGCCGGAUAAACUACAGUGCUUAGCGUUUAAGCAGGCCAUUGUAUUUAGGCCCUAGGAACAUGCUGCAAGGGGUAUCGAAAAACAAGAACCCUAAACUUAUCUCUAACAUUAACAAUAGCUCUAGUAAGGCCACUAUGGCGACCUGGUGUAUAUGAAUCUUCCCAGUGUAUCAGUUAAGUUGCUGGUGCAGUGCUCUUUUGUUCUCCUUUUUCAUCUGUUCUUGGCUCAACUUUCGCUUUUGUUCCUUUGAUUCCUGUCCGGAUCUCCCUGAUCCUCACAGCGGACGAGCGGCCGAGAGAGGCGGUAGCAGAAGCGCUCCUGGCCCCAGGAGCAUCGCGAGCGAGAGGCAUGGGAGCAAUGGAAGGCCAGGGCGCUUAGCUCAACCAGGUUGCCUCCACCGCCUGCAAGGUGUUCAUCAAAAUAUCCAGCUCCUAGCAUGAGAUCAAUGUUGACGAUGAUGUGCGCCAGCUGGUGGAGUUUUUCCUGCGCAUUUCAGUGAAGCUGCCCAAAAACUAGAUAAAACUCAUGAGAGUUGAUCUGUACUACCAUCUGCCCAGGUUAUGGGUUGCUUCUAGAAAAAUAUCUCCUUUGAGCCCUAUGAACUUGCAUUUCACAAGGAAAUGAUGGAUCAUGUAGAGAGCAAGAGCAUUGCAGCAGAAAAACCAUCUCUCAAAUGGAAGCUUCAACUAAAGAUUCACAAAUAGACUGCCAAAGUUUAUGAGAUUGUUCUUUGAUCAGGUAUCCCUCAUAAGCAAGAUCUCUUUACUGAAAUCUGAGCCACCACUUUAACAGGUUCCACUUGCAGAGUAGAAAUCCUUGGAUCAUGUUUAGUGGUUUUCUGCUGACUAAUAACUGAGAAGGAAAUAUCCUCCUGGCAGCUAUGAGUUUUGUUUGGCAUGUGACAUGCAGCCUGACCUACAGAGCCCUUUAGUCUGAACUUUGAAGAGAUAUCCUAAUAAUUUCAGGAAUGAGAUCAACAAAAGUAUGGUCCUAACUGAGCCACAACAUAACAGUUAACUAGCUUAUUCUGUUAGUAAAGUGUUACAAAAUAGCAAAGUGCGUAGAUUUCUUAGAACUCAGUCUGUUUUCUACAUGAUGACCCUAGGAUAUUUUUUGGGCAAUACUGGAAUACUGACGAAUAAGAAAACUUCAUCAUGAACUGAUUUGCUUCUUGAUCUUGAAUUCAAUUUAUGGGAUCUGUGUGGCUGCAUUACCGGGUUUCCAUCCCUGACACCAAUGGCCACAUUCUUGCUCACAGAUAAGUACUCAAAUCCCAAACCCCCAACCCCCUAUGCUUUUACAACACUAUCUUUUAAUAGAGUUGUGUUUCUUCUCGCAUUUUCCAAAUCAUGUAUAAGUCAAUAGUAAUAAGUUUCCAUUUUUUAUCUGAUACCCUGCAUUUGUUUCUCGCUGCCUCUAGAUUUUUGGAUAUGCUAGAAUAGUGUCUAAAAAUGGUAACAAUUUCAGUGAAAUGGAGUGUACUAUAUCAUGCUUGAGCUUCUAAACCAACUUGAUGGUAUUGAAUUGUCUAACAAAAUUGAACUUCUAAAUCCUAAUGAGGACGCAUCUUCUACUGACUUGUCACGUAAUGUCUGCUGAUUUUGCAUAGUUGCUUGCGCUAACUGGUGCUUAAUGUUUUUGUUUUGUCUACCAUGUGGCUGCAAUUUCAUUUUGCCACUUGUGUAAGGCAUUUGAAUGUCUACCCGUGUGUGCUAUUUAGCUCAAGAUGUGAUGGGUAUUGACCUCUAUUACCAAGAUUGCAGGUUGGUGCUAUAUUUGCACAAUGAAAUCAUUUAGAGAAAUUCAGAUGUUCAUCAGGCAGAAGAUUGUUGAGCAGGUGAUAGCUUAUUAAGCUCCUAAACCAAGCCAAUGGACAAAUGAAAUUAUUAAAACUAGAUGCAUUCUUCGGUUCGAUCUUCCUAUGUCACAGCUGGUGGUUUGUCUACAACCAAAGCAUAGAAGAGUACUUAAAGGAAUAGUUAUUAUCAGAGUCAAGUAUUCAAAUUGUUGACCUUAGUACCAAAUAGAGCUCGACGGUUGUUCCUUUACAGUUCACAAGCAAGAUUGGAGUUUAGAAUCAUUCGCCAACAUGAUACUGUUGCGUUGCUGUUGUGGUUUGUCGAAUGCAUAAUUAUUUUGAGAACCUAUAGUUAUUUGUGCUUUUACUGCUUAACC